rnacentral:rRNA from 1 species
CAGUAGCCACGGUAAUACGGAGGGUGCAAGCGUUAAUCGGAAUUACUGGGCGUAAAGCGCACGCAGGCGGUCUGACAAGUCAGAUGUGAAAUCCCCGGGCUUAACCUGGGAACUGCAUUUGAAACUGUCAGGCUGGAGUCUUGUAGAGGGGGGUGGAAUUCCAGGUGUAGCGGUGAAAUGCGUAGAGAUCUGGAGGAAUACCGGUGGCGAAGGCGGCCCCCUGGACAAAGACUGACGCUCAGGUGCGAAAGCGUGGGGAGCAAACAGGAUUAGAUACCCCGGUAGUCCCUGUCUCUUAUAU